UUUUGUUUCAUGCUAAUGCACCAUCACACACUCCAAAUCAGUUAAAGACGCAUUAAAAGAUCUUGCCUGGGAAGUAUUAACCCACCCGCUAUAUUCACCAGACGUUGCUCCUUCAGAUUAUCACUUGUCCCUAUCAAAGGCACACGCACUUUCUGAGCAGCACCUCAAAACAUAUGAAGAAGUGGAAAAUUGGGUCUCGGAAUGGUUUGCCUCAAAACAAGAAGAGUUCUAUUGGGGGAAAAUGUUCUAUCCAAAAAUUACCUGAAAGGUGGGGAAAUGUAUAGCUAGUGAUGGACAUUACUUUGAAUAAAGCACUUCUGAUGUUUCUAUUGAAA